rnacentral:rRNA from 1 species
CGUAACUAUAACGGUCCUAAGGUAGCGAAAUUCCUUGUCGGGUAAGUUCCGACCCGCACGAAAGGCGUAACGACUAGAGCGCUGUCUCUGAGAGGGGUACGGCGAAAUUGUGGUUCCGGUGAAGACGCCGGAUACCUGCCGCUGGACGGAAAGACCCCGGCACCUUAACUGCAUCCUAGCAUUGGAUUUUGGGAUCGCACGCGCAGCAUAGGUGGGAGACUUUGAAGCCGGACCCCCGGGUUCGGUGGAGUCAUCGGUGAGAUACCACUCUUGCGAUUCUGAGGUUCUAACUCACUCCCCUGACCGGGGAGGAAGACAGUGUUAGGUGGGUAGUUUAACUGGGGCGGUUGCCUCCUAAAAUGUAACGGAGGCGCCCUAAGGUUCCCUCAGGCUGUUUGGAAAUCAGCCGUAGAGUGUAAAGGCAUAAGGGAGCUUGACUGCGAGAGAGACAUCUCAAGCAGGGAGGAAACUCGGGCUUAGUGAUCCGGUGGUCCCGUAUGGAAGGGCCAUCGCUCAACGGAUAAAAGGUACGCCGGGGAUAACAGGCUAAUAGUCUCCAAGAGCUCAUAUCGACGAGACUGUUUGGCACCUCGAUGUCGGCUCAUCUCAUCCUGGGGCUGAAGCGGGUCCCAAGGGUCCGGCUGUUCGCCGGUUAAAGAGGUACGUGAGCUGGGUUCAGAACGUCGCGAGACAGUUCGGUCCCUAUCCACGGCAGGCGCAGGAGAAUUGAGGGGGGUGGUCCCCAGUACGAAAGGACCAGGACGAACGAACCUCUAGUGUGCCAGUUGUCCCGCCAGGGGCAUCGCUGGGUAGCUACGUUCGGAAGUGAUAACCGCUGAAAGCAUAUAAGCGGGAAGCACGCCCCAAGAUGAUUUCUCCCUCCCGCAAGGGCUAAAGGGCACAGGCAGAUCACCUGUUUGAUAGGCCGGGUGUGGAAGCGCAGAGAUGCGUUAAGCUUACCGGUACUAACCGCCCGUGAGACUUGACCAUAAA